rnacentral:rRNA from 1 species
UCGGGUUGUAAAGCACUUUUGUCCGGAAAGAAAACUUCGGCCCUAAUACGGCGGGAGGAUGACGGUACCGGAAGAAUAAGCACCGGCUAACUACGUGCCAGCAGCGCGGUAAUCGUAGGGUGCGAGCGUUAAUCGGAAUUACUGGGCGUAAAGCGUGCGCAGGCGGUUCGUUAAGACAGAUGUGAAAUCCCCGGGCUUAACCUGGGAACUGCAUUUGUGACUGGCGAGCUAGAGUAUGGCAGAGGGGGGUAGAAUUCCACGUGUAGCAGUGAAAUGCGUAGAGAUGUGGAGGAAUACCGAUGGCGAAGGCAGCCCCCUGGGCCAAUACUGACGCCCAUGCACGAAAGCGUGGGGAGCAAACAGGAUUAGAUACCCUGGUAGUCCACGCCCUAAACGAUGUCAACUAGUUGUUGGGGAUUCAUUUCCUUAGUAACGUAGCUAACGCGCGAAGUUGACCGCCUGGGGAGUACGGUCGCAAGAUUAAAACUCAAAGGAAUUGACGGGGACCCGCACAAGCGGUGGAUGAUGUGGAUUAACUCGAUGCAACGCGAAAAACCUUACCUACCCUUGACAUGGUCGGAACCCUGCUG